GACGAACGCUGGCGGCGUGCCUAAUACAUGCAAGUCGAACGAGAGCGCCCGGUGCUUGCACUGGUCAAUCUAGUGGCGAACGGGUGAGUAACACGUGGGUAACCUGCCCAUCAGAGGGGGAUAACAUCCGGAAACGGAUGCUAAAACCGCAUAGGUCCUCGAACCGCAUGGUUUGAAGAGGAAAAGAGGCGCAAGCUUCUGCUGAUGGAUGGACCCGCGGUGCAUUAGCUAGUUGGUGAGGUAACGGCUCACCAAGGCCGUGAUGCAUAGCCGACCUGAGAGGGUGAUCGGCCACAUUGGGACUGAGACACGGCCCAAACUCCUACGGGAGGCAGCAGUAGGGAAUCUUCCGCAAUGGACGCAAGUCUGACGGAGCAACGCCGCGUGAGUGAAGAAGGUUUUCGGAUCGUAAAACUCUGUUGUUAGAGAAGAACAAGUGCUAGAGUAACUGUUAGCGCCUUGACGGUAUCUAACCAGAAAGCCACGGCUAACUACGUG
rnacentral:rRNA from 1 species